CGAACUCCAACUAGUGGUAGACUGUUUGCAAGAAAAUUGAGCAGUCAUGUUCAAAUUAUAUUUCCUGAUGGGGUCAUUGGUGAUGUUAAUACUUAUACUUUGUGGCUUUUCUGCAGGAUCUCCUGGGCCACAUCCAGAGCUGGUAUGCAACCGUGACGAGACGUUUAUUGACGAAUGUGGUAAUACUUGCAUCUGCAAUCAUGAAGGUGUAGCAAUGUGCGACGAUGACCACUUCAACAAUUGCUAGAAUGGCCCAAGGAUUACGAAGUAGCCUUCAAUCGGCACAUCUGUAUAGCGUUUUCAGUGUGUUCUGUAAAUUGGAUGUUUCUCCACAAUUCAGAUAAAAACAUAAACUAUAGAAAUUGAUGAUAUCAUUUAUUCUUUUGUUUCGCAGUUUGAAUUACCACAGAAAUAGCAAUAAAUAUGCAAAAUAACAAGGGGUA